rnacentral:rRNA from 1 species
AUGGUGACGCUACUGGUGGUUCUGCAGCUGCUCGUGGCGGCAGCUCCGCGGGCCAUGGCUCGCUCACCACCAGAGGAGAUGGAAAAGGUGGCGGCGCAGUCAAAAAAGAUAGCGAUCGAGCGCCUCGUCCUGAAAGCACCUCGGGGAGACGCCAGAUGCGCUGACGAAACAUGCUAUACUGGUUUUUGCUUCGUCGUCGCUGGUUGCAGCUGCCAGUAUCCCUACUGUCGGAAGCCUCGCGUUCCAACGCCAGUUUAUGCUUGA